CACAGGUGUUGCAUGGCUGUCGUCAGCUCGUGCCGUGAGGUGUUAGGUUAAGUCCUGUAACGAGCGCAACCCCUGCCGUUAGUUACAUGUGUCUAACGGGACUGCCCGGCUCAACUGGGAGGAAGGUGGGGACGACGUCAAGUCAGCAUGGCCUUUAUAUCCUGGGCUACGCACACGCUACAAUGGUCGGUACAAUGGGUCGCCAAGCCGCGAGGCGGAGCCAAUCCUCCAAAACCGGCCUCAGUUCAGAUUGUAGGCUGCAACUCGCCUGCAUGAAGUUGGAGUUGCUAGUAACCGCGCGUCAGCUAUAGUGCGGUGAAUACGUUCCCGGGGCUU
rnacentral:rRNA from 1 species